rnacentral:misc_RNA from 1 species
UGGAGAAGUGCCAUCCUUUGGGUAUGUUUGACAGUAUCGCAACUCUCGCAGUUGCCCAGAACAUGCGUGAGCUUUACAGAUUGGUUCUUGUUGAUACACCGUUGGCUCCCUACUUCUCCGAGUGCAUCACAUCAGAGGAUUUGGACGACAUGAAUAUUGAGAUUAUGAGGAAUACUCUCUACAAGGCAUAUCUCGAGGAUUUCUACAAGUUCUGUAAGAAACUAGGUGGAGCUACUGGCGAAAUAAUGUCUGACCUUCUUGCCUUUGAAGCUGAUAGAAGAGCUG